rnacentral:rRNA from 1 species
GGAUUAGAUACCCGGGUAGUCCACGCCGUAAACUAUGGAUGCUAGCUGUACGACGUAUCGACCCGUUGUGUAGCGAAGCUAACGCGUUAAGCAUCCCGCCUGUGGAGUACGGUCGCAAGACUAAAACAUAAAGGAAUUGACGGGGACCCGCACAAGCGGUGGAGCGUGUUGUUUAAUUCGAUGAUAAGCGAAGAACCUUACCAGGGUUUGACAUCCUGCCAAGGUCUCCGAAAGGAGACUGUGCCUUCGGGCCGCAGUGACAGGUGUUGCAUGGCCGUCGUCAGCUCGUGUCGUGAGAUGUUUGGUUAAGUCCAUCAACGAGCGCAACCCUUAUAGUUAGUUGAAUUUUUCUAGCUAGACUGCCCCGGCAACGGGGAGGAAGGAGGGGAUGAUG